rnacentral:rRNA from 1 species
AAGCAUAUCAAUAAGCGGAGGAAAAGAAACCAACAGGGAUUGCCCUAGUAACGGCGAGUGAAGCGGCAACAGCUCAAAUUUGAAAUCUGGCUUCGGCCCGAGUUGUAAUUUGCAGAGGAUGCUUUUGGUGCGGUGCCUUCCGAGUUCCCUGGAACGGGACGCCACAGAGGGUGAGAGCCCCGUAUGGUCGGACACCAAUCCUGUGUAAAGCUCCUUCGACGAGUCGAGUAGUUUGGGAAUGCUGCUCUAAAUGGGAGGUAAAUCUCUUCUAAAGCUAAAUACCGGCCAGAGACCGAUAGCGCACAAGUAGAGUGAUCGAAAGAUGAAAAGCACCUUGAAAAGGGGGUUAAACAGUACGUGAAAUUGUUGAAAGGGAAGCACUUGUGACCAGACUUGGGCCGGGCGGCUCAUCAGGGGUUCUCCCCUGUGCACUCCGCCCGGUACAGGCCAGCAUCGGUUCUUGCCGGGGGAUAAGAACGGUAGGAACGUGGCUCCCCCUCGGGGGAGUGUUAUAGCCUGCCGUACGAUACCCUGGCGGGGACCGAGGUUCGCGCUUCCGCAAGGAUGCUGGCGUAAUGGUUACUAGUGACCCGUCUUGAAACACGGACCAAGGAGUCGUCCAUUAGAGCGAGCGUUUGGGUGUCAAACCCGCACGCGUAAUGAAAGUGAAAUUAGGUGAGAGCUUCGGCGCAUCAUCGACCGAUCCUGAUGUUCUCGGAUGGAUUUGAGUAAGAGUUUUAACGGACGGACCCGAAAGACAGUGAACUAUGCUUGUAUAGGGUGAAGCCAGAGGAAACUCUGGUGGAGGCUCGCAGCGGUUCUGACGUGCAAAUCGAUCGUCAAAUAUGAGCAUGGGGGCGAAAGACUAAUCGAACUGUCUAGUAGCUG